GGUGCUUAAUCUCAUAAUACGACGCAAGGUCGUUCAACUUAUUAUGACUAUAUUAUACUGUGUAGCUGAUAUACCGCGCAUGGGCUCACAAUUGGCGUAUUUAACCAAGUGCCUUAUAUCAGACACCCUCUUAAGCUUUCCAUUGGGAAAUACUUGUAAUAAGCUCAGUUACAGCACAUGAGAAUGUCUUAUCGUCAGUUUCACCGAGGCAGACAAUUGAAAUCGAAGUGUGUAAGCCGAUGGUCGCAGUCGUCGUAACGCCGCUGGUAGAGCAGCACCGAUGCCGUCACUGUUCGUCUUUUUCCGUGCGUCCACCAUCUAGCCAAACGGACAUCUGUACAAACGAAUGGAUCCGGAUGAUACGAAGACGCGACGCCGUCCUAGCAUCAUUAGCAGCGGAGGACAAUGACGUCGACGAUAUUGAAACAGAAGAAAAAGAAGAAGCGAAAAAGGCAAAGAAAUAAAAGUAAAAACCGCACGGAUGGCGAGGGGUAAUAACAGAUCCGUUGUCGUUUUCUGGAGCGGGAAUCUCGUUUACGUUGAGUUGUAUUGCCUUAUCAAUCAUUGCGAGCCCCUGUAUGCGUGCAAAGCUCUAGACUAUACUACUUGACCCACUUGUCGUUAGGACCGUUUCACUGUUUUCGUCUACCUUCGCUCGCUUCCUACUGUUGUCACGAAUCACGUUAUUUAAAGUUGGCUAAAUCGCCGAAUACAACGAAAUUGUUAUGCAGGCGUCCAAGAUAGAAGUAGCCGGCAAGUUUCUGGCAUCUAGACUACGUUGAUUUACCGUAUUACUGCACAAAUUAAGUUGUCACUUUUCGACGCUUACGAUAGUAUUAAUUAGUUUAACAUAUCCUCACGAUUUUGUCGUCUCAACUAGACCGUGUACUGCUAUACGCAAACGUAAUGAAUCCAACUAAUACAGCCUAGGUUGCGUCCCAACUUUGAGCUUCUGUUGGCCAACUGUUGUCCUGAAAGCAUUACAUUCUCCUCUACGAUAGCUCAUUCUCUAUAAAACAUCAUUGAGCGCGAAGAUAAGACACGCUAGCGCGUACUUAAUACUUGUUUACAGAAACUACGACAGAACUUCAGCAAAAGGUUAUCGUGGCGUUCGUAUUUGUAUUUGUUGGCAUAUCUGGAACAAUCGUUGUGUUAGCCACAGAUGGACAAAACAGCCUCUUCCAGAAUCAGUUAAAUUCUACCAAUGGACAGCAGGUAAUUGAUCGUAACUCAUGUUAUUAUCGUAUUCCGGUACAAUCUAACUAAACACGAUGAAGCUUUUGUCUGUAUUGUUUAUUCGCGGCACGAUAUGAGCAUAUCUAUUUUUCGAUCGAUGAUAUACAAUACAGUUUGGCAAAAACAUGUUCAACUAUAAUUAUUACUUGUGCCUAUUUUCUGUCCGUGUCUGGCCUGCAUUGGCGGCGCUAUUAUGCUUAUCUAUCCGUUGCUAAUAAUCUGAUAAUCAAGGACCUUCUGUCACGUUCACUCUGCACUCAGGAGAAGAUCAACAGAAUCCCGUCUUGAAUAAAUAAAUUAUUUUCUAUGCUUUUAUUGUUAACAGCCCUAUCCCUAAGCUGAGAAGCAUCACUAUUUGGAAUAGAUGUUGCUAUUGAAGGGUUUUGUGAAUGCCUGCAUAUCUAGACAUGGAUCAGAUCUUGGCUGAUCAAAAAGCGGUACGGAUUUGCGCACCUGCCACAUGUAUAAUACAUGAUACAUGUGGGCCAGAAAAUGGAAAAGAAGAAUAAUAAAAUGAGACCUCUUUUACACACAUGAAAAAAUUUGUCAAGCAACAGGAACGAGAUUAGCAAUGUCCGUAUGUAUGUAUGUACGUACACAUAAACUGGUUAUGACACGGGCGAAGACACUUGAUGCAAAAACGCUGAUUCGAUCUUCCCUCCGUCGUACCUCUUCAUUGCCCAUCAUCGGAUAGUAGUAGUAAUGGUAAUUUAAGUAGUCCAAAUAUUUUACGUCAAAUCUACGUAUGGCGUUAAAUACUGUUCGCCUAAUGGCUUGAUGUAUUGAUUGUGUGUAAUAUCAAAAUAUUUUCUAUGUCAUUUAGCGAGAAAUUUACUGCACUAGCCCGCUUGGUAAAAUGUCUCGAAAUAGUAACUCGACAGCUGAGCAAAUUCAAGCGAGGUUUUCAGUUUCAGCAAGUUUUUCAGCUAUUUUUUAAAUUCGACUUGGGUAGUAAAUAACGAAACUGGACUCGUAUCUGUUUAUAAACACCCAUUACAAGUAUCUAGAUAGAAAACAGAAUAACCAGGUUCAAGCUCCAACGAAAGUAGCCCGAAAUAGAACGGUUGACAUUGUCAUUGUAUAUUAAAUCGGUUUGCUAAAUAACAAUAUUUAUAUUUUAUUUAAA